rnacentral:rRNA from 1 species
CCUACGGGGGGCAGCAGUGAGGAAUAUUGGUCAAUGGGCGCGAGCCUGAACCAGCCAAGUCGCGUGAGGGAAGACGGUCCUAUGGAUUGUAAACCUCUUUUGUCGGGGAGCAAAAGACGCCACGCGUGGCGUUCCGAGAGUACCCGAAGAAAAAGCAUCGGCUAACUCCGUGCCAGCAGCCGCGGUAAUACGGAGGAUGCGAGCGUUAUCCGGAUUUAUUGGGUUUAAAGGGUGCGCAGGCGGAAGAUCAAGUCAGCGGUAAAAUUGAGAGGCUCAACCUCUUCGAGCCGUUGAAACUGGUAUUCUUGAGUGAGCGAGAGGUAUGCGGAAUGCGUGGUGUAGCGGUGAAAUGCAUAGACAUCACGCAGAACUCCGAUUGCGAAGGCAGCAUACCGGCGCUCAACUGACGCUCAUGCACGAAAGUGUGGGUAUCGAACAGGAUUAGAUACCCCUGUAGUC